rnacentral:tRNA from 2 species
GCCCCUAUAGCUCAACCGGCAGAGCAGCGGUCUUUUAAACCGUGGGUUCAGGGUUCGAAUCCCUGUGGGGGCA